GCGAUCAGGCUUCCCCACUCUUCCUCGAGUCUCCAUCAGUCGUCGUUGGUUCCCGCCGCCGCUGAUUACAGAUAUGCAGGCACUAGAUAGAGUGCGGCCUGGACCCGAUGUGGAUACCCAGUUGUCCCAGCAGCCGAAUCAUCGGUCAAGUCCGCUUUGGAGGUGCGCCGCUGACGAGGAGGCGCCUGGCAUGAUAAAGGUUCGACGCCG